rnacentral:rRNA from 1 species
CCCGACUGCUAUCGGGGUGAGGCUAAGCCAUGGGAGUCGUACGCCCCGCCGCCGCGGGGCGUGGCGCACGGCUGAGUAACACGUGGCUAACCUACCCUCGGGAGGGGGAUAACACCGGGAAACUGGUGCUAAUCCCCCAUAGGGGAGGGCGCCUGGAAGGGUCCCUCCCCGAAAGGGUACGGCGGGGGUUAUCGCCGCCGUGCCGCCCGGGGAUGGGGCUGCGGCCCAUCAGGUAGUUGGCGGGGUAACGGCCCGCCAAGCCGAAGACGGGUAGGGGCCGUGAGAGCGGGAGCCCCCAGAUGGGCACUGAGACAAGGGCCCAGGCCCUACGGGGCGCACCAGGCGCGAAACCUCCGCAAUGCGGGAAACCGUGACGGGGUCACCCCGAGUGCCCCCGAUAAGGGGGCUUUUCCCCGCUGUAAGAAGGCGGGGAAAUAAGCGGGGGGCAAGUCUGGUGUCAGCCGCCGCGGUAAUACCAGCCCCGCGAG